rnacentral:rRNA from 1 species
GAUGAAUCAUAAUAACUGAUCGAAUCGAGGUUCGCCUUGAUAAAUCAUUCAAGUUUCUGCCCUAUCAGCUGUAGAUGGUAGUGUAUUGGACUACCAUGGCUAUUACGGGUAACGGAGAAUUAGGGUUCGAUUCCGGAGAGGGAGCCUGAGAAACGGCUACCACAUCUACGGAUGGCAGCAGGCGCGAAAAUUGCCCAAUCCCGAUUCGGGGAGGCAGUGACAAGAAAUAACAACCCAGAACAUUGUUUCCGGGAUUGCAAUGAGAACAAUUUAAAACCUUAUCGAGUACCAACUGGAGGGCAAGUUCUGGUGCCAGCAGCCGCGGUAAUUCCAGCUCCAGUAGCGUAUAUUAAAGUUGCUGCAGUUAAAAAGCUCGUAGUUGAAUUUCUGUUUGUAAGAGUCGAAGCUUUACAGCUAAGAUUUCUUCGAACAUCUGUUUGCAAGCAUACGUUCGGCCUUCACUGGUUGGCGUAUGUAAGCAAGCGUUUUACCUUGAGAAAUUAGAGUGUUCCAGGCA